rnacentral:rRNA from 1 species
CCUACGGGUGGCAGCAGUAGGGAAUAUUGCUCAAUGGGGGAAACCCUGAAGCAGCAACGCCGCGUGGAGGAUGAAGGUUUUAGGAUUGUAAACUCCUUUUUUUAGAGAAGUUUAUGACGGUAUCUAACGAAUAAGCACCGGCGAACUCCGUGCCAGCAGCCGCGGUAAUACGGAGGGUGCAAGCGUUACUCGGAAUCACUGGGCGUAAAGAGUGCGUAGUGGGGUUAAUAAGUCAGAUGUGAAAUCUUGCAGCUUAACUACAGAACUGCAUUUGAAACUGUUACUCUGGAGUGUGGGAGAGGUAGGUGGAAUUCGUGGUGUAGGGGUGAAAUGCGUAGAGAUCAAGAGGAAUACUGAUUGCGAAGGCGACCUGCUGGAACAUUACUGACGCUGAUGCACGAAAGCGUGGGGAGCAAACAGGAUUAGAUACCCGGGUAGUC